rnacentral:miRNA from 1 species
UAUGUAUGUGUGUGUGUGUGUGUGUGUGUGUGUAUACAUAUACACACACACACAUACAUACAUUAUUCA